ACUCGACCCCAGGUCAGGCGGGACCACCCGCUGAGUUUAAGCAUAUCAAUAAGCGGAGG
rnacentral:rRNA from 1 species